CCUACGGGUGGCUGCAGUCGAGGAUCUUCGGCAAUGGGCGCAAGCCUGACCGAGCGAGGCCGCGUGGGCGAUGAAGGCCUUCGGGUUGUAAAGCCCUGUCGAGAGGGAGAAAGGCGCAAGCUCGAUCUAUCUCUGGAGGAAGCACGGGCUAAGUUCGUGCCAGCAGCCGCGGUAAGACGAACCGUGCGAACGUUGUUCGGAAUCACUGGGCUUAAAGGGCGCGUAGGCGGGCCGCCAAGUCCGGGGUGAAAUCCUCCAGCUCAACUGGAGAACGGCCUCGGAUACUGGAGGUCUCGAGGGGGAUAGGGGCACGCGGAACUGUGGGUGGAGCGGUGAAAUGCGUUGAUAUCCAUAGGAACUCCGGUGGCGAAGGCGGCGUGCUGGAUCUCUUCUGACGCUGAGGCGCGAAAGCCAGGGGAUCAAACGGGAUUAGAUACCCUAGUAGUC
rnacentral:rRNA from 1 species